rnacentral:rRNA from 1 species
AGCGAACGCUGGCGGCAGGCUUAACACAUGCAAGUCGAGCGGGCGUAGCAAUACGUCAGCGGCAGACGGGUGAGUAACGCGUGGGAACAUACCUUUUGGUUCGGAACAACACAGGGAAACUUGUGCUAAUACCGGAUAAGCCCUUACGGGGAAAGAUUUAUCGCCGAAAGAUUGGCCCGCGUCUGAUUAGCUAGUUGGUGAGGUAAUGGCUCACCAAGGCGACGAUCAGUAGCUGGUCUGAGAGGAUGAUCAGCCACAUUGGGACUGAGACACGGCCCAAACUCCUACGGGAGGCAGCAGUGGGGAAUAUUGGACAAUGGGCGCAAGCCUGAUCCAGCCAUGCCGCGUGAGUGAUGAAGGCCCUAGGGUUGUAAAGCUCUUUUGUGCGGGAAGAUAAUGACGU